CAAGUACUCCCUCCGUCCGGAAAUACUUGUCAAAGAAAUGGAUGUAUCUAGAUGUAUUUUAGUUUUAGAUACGUCUAUUUUUAUCCAUUUCUUCGACAAGUAUUUCCGGAUGGAGGGAGCAUAAA
rnacentral:pre_miRNA from 1 species